CCUACGGGAGUCAGCAGUGGGGGAUAUUGCACAAUGGGGGCAACCCUGAUGCAGCGACGCCGCGUGAGCGAUGGAGUACUUCGGUAUGUAAAGCUCUGUCAGCAGGGCAGAGAAUGACGGUACCUGACCAAGAAGCCCCGGCUAAAUACGUGCCAGCAGCCGCGGUAAUACGUAUGGGGCAAGCGUUAUCCGGAAUUACUGCGGGUAAAGGGAGCGUAGGCGGCAGGGCAAGCCGGAUGGGAAAGCCCGGGGCUAAACCCCGGGACUGCAUUGGGAACUGCCCCGCUCGAGUGCCGGAGGGGCAGGCGGAAUUCCUAGUGGAGCGGUGAAAUGCGUAGAUAUUAGGAGGAACACCAGUGGCGAAGGCGGCCUGCUGGACGGUGUACUGACGCUGAGGCUCGAAAGCGUGGGGAGCAAACAGGAUUAGAUACCCGGGUAGUC
rnacentral:rRNA from 1 species